AUACUUAGAAAUUGUCGACGCGGGUCAAAGUGUAGUAUCUGUUCUGAUGAGCUUAAUACUUGGUACGGGGCGUAUUUGCACAUAAGAUAGUAAGCUUAUUUUUGCAAGUUGGCGGAGUACCUAAAGCAUGCUUCACCUACGGCGCGAAUCGGCCCGGUAUUGCACUAUCUGUGGGUUCGAUCCACGUAUG